rnacentral:rRNA from 1 species
UACGUAGGGUGCGAGCGUUGUCCGGAAUUACUGGGCGUAAAGAGCUCGUAGGUGGUUUGUCGCGUUGUUCGUGAAAUCUCACGGCUUAACUGUGAGCGUGCGGGCGAUACGGGCAGACUGGAGUACUGCAGGGGAGACUGGAAUUCCUGGUGUAGCGGUGGAAUGCGCAGAUAUCAGGAGGAACACCGGUGGUGAAGGCGGGUCUCUGGGCAGUAACUGACGCUGAGGAGCGAAAGCGUGGGGAGCGAACAGG